AAUUUCAGUAGUGUGUGUGAGAGCGUUUCAGUAGUGUGUGUGAGAGCGUUUCAGUAGUGUGUGUGAGAGAUAAAAUUUCAGUAGUGUGUGUGAGAGCGUUUCAGUAGUGUGUGUGAGAGCGUUUCAGUAGUGUGUGUGAGAGGUAAAAUUUCAGUAGUGUGUGUGAGAGCGUUUCAGUAGUGUGUGUGAGAGGUAAAAUUUCAGUAGUGUGUGUGAGAGCGUUUCAGUAGUGUGUGUGAGAGCGUUUCAGUUGUGUGUGUGAGAGGUAAAAUUUCAGUAGUGUGUGUGAGAGCGUUUCAGUAGUGUGUGUGAGAGCGUUUCAGUAGUGUGUGUGAGAGCGUUUCAGUUGUGUGUGUGAGAGCGUUUCAGUAGUGUGUGUGAGAGCGUUUCAGUAGUGUGUGUGAGAGCGUUUCAGUAGUGUGUGUGAGAGCGUUUCAG
ensembl:lncRNA